rnacentral:rRNA from 1 species
GACGAACGCUGGCGGCGUGCCUAAUACAUGCAAGUAGAACGCUGAAGGAGGAGCUUGCUUCUCUGGAUGAGUUGCGAACGGGUGAGUAACGCGUAGGUAACCUGCCUGGUAGCGGGGGAUAACUAUUGGAAACGAUAGCUAAUACCGCAUAAUAGUAGAUGUUGCAUGGCAUUUGCUUAAAAGGUGCAAUUUCAUCACUACCAGAUGGACCUGCGUUGUAUUAGCUAGUUGGUGAGGUAACGGCUCACCAAGGCAACGAUACAUAGCCGACCUGAGAGGGUGAUCGGCCACAACGGGACUGAGACACGGCCCAGACUCCUACGGGAGGCAGCAGUAGGGAAUCUUCGGCAAUGGACGGAAGGCUGAACGAGCAACGCCGCGUGAGUGAAGAAGGGUUUCGGAUCGUAAAGCUCUGUUGUAAGAGAAGAACGAGUGUGAGAGUGGAAAGUUCACACUGUGACGGUAUCUUACCAGAAAGGGACGGCUAACUACGUG